rnacentral:pre_miRNA from 1 species
CAAAUACUCCCUCCGUCCGGAAAUACUUGUCAUCAAAAUGGAUAAAAGGAAAUGUAUCUAGACAUAUUUUAGUUUUAGAUACAUCUCUUUUUAUCCAUUUUGAUGACAAUUAUUUUCGGAUGGAGGGAGUAGAAA